CCUACGGGAGGCAGCAGUAGGGAAUAUUGGACAAUGGGCGCAAGCCUGAUCCAGCCAUGCCGCGUGAGUGAAGAAGGCCCUCGGGUUGUAAAGCUCUUUUGUCCGGAAAGAAAAGCGCCGGGUUAAUACCCUGGUGUCCUGACGGUACCGGAAGAAUAAGCACCGGCUAACUUCGUGCCAGCAGCCGCGGUAAUACGAAGGGUGCAAGCGUUACUCGGAAUUACUGGGCGUAAAGCGUGCGUAGGUGGUUCGUUAAGUCCGAUGUGAAAGCCCUGGGCUCAACCUGGGAAUGGCAUUGGAUACUGGCGGGCUAGAGUGCGGUAGAGGGUAGUGGAAUUCCCGGUGUAGCAGUGAAAUGCGUAGAGAUCGGGAGGAACAUCCGUGGCGAAGGCGACUACCUGGACCAGCACUGACACUGAGGCACGAAAGCGUGGGGAGCAAACAGGAUUAGAUACCCUGGUAGUCCACGCCCUAAACGAUGCGAACUGGAUGUUGGGCUCAACUUGGAGCUCAGUAUCGAAGCUAACGCGUUAAGUUCGCCGCUGGGGAGUACGGUCGCAAGACUGAAACUCAAAGGAAUUGACGG
rnacentral:rRNA from 1 species